GGAUGAAGUACUUCGGUACGUAAACUCCUUUCGAUCGGGACGCAUUAUGACGGUACCGGAAGAAGAAGCCCCGGCUAACUUCGUGCCAGCAGCCGCGGUAAUCACGAGGGGGCGCAAGCGUGUUCGGAAUUA
rnacentral:rRNA from 1 species